AUGGACCACGCGUACAGUCCGGUUCUGAGCGCGCCGCACGCCCUCACCCGACGACCGCUCGCUCGGUUUUGGUGGCC
rnacentral:sRNA from 1 species